ACGAGGAGCUUGCUCCUCUGACGUUAGCGGCGGACGGGUGAGUAACACGUGGAUAACCUACCUAUAAGACUGGGAUAACUUCGGGAAACCGGAGCUAAUACCGGAUAAUAUAUUGAACCGCAUGGUUCAAUAGUGAAAGACGGUUUUGCUGUCACUUAUAGAUGGAUCCGCGCCGCAUUAGCUAGUUGGUAAGGUAACGGCUUACCAAGGCAACGAUGCGUAGCCGACCUGAGAGGGUGAUCGGCCACACUGGAACUGAGACACGGUCCAGACUCCUACGGGAGGCAGCAGUAGGGAAUCUUCCGCAAUGGGCGAAAGCCUGACGGAGCAACGCCGCGUGAGUGAUGAAGGUCUUCGGAUCGUAAAACUCUGUUAUUAGGGAAGAACAAAUGUGUAAGUAACUAUGCACGUCUUGACGGUACCUAAUCAGAAAGCCACGGCUAACUACGUGCCAGCAGCCGCGGAAAUACGUAGGUGGCAAGCGUUAUCCGGAAUUAUUGGGCGUAAAGCGCGCGUAGGCGGUUUUUUAAGUCUGAUGUGAAAGCCCACGGCUCAACCGUGGAGGGUCAUUGGAAACUGGAAAACUUGAGUGCAGAAGAGGAAAGUGGAAUUCCAUGUGUAGCGGUGAAAUGCGCAGAGAUAUGGA
rnacentral:rRNA from 1 species